rnacentral:rRNA from 1 species
AACGUAGGACGCAAGCGUUAUCCGGAGUUACUGGGCGUAAAGCGCGUGCAGGCGGUCGGUCAAGUCUGAUGUGAAAUCUCUCCGCUCAACGGGGAGCAGCCAUUGGAAACUGGGCGACUGGAGUCUGACAGAGGUAGGCGGAAUUCCGGGUGGAGUGGUGAAAUGCGUAGAGAUCAUGAGGAAGACCAGCGGCGAAGGCGGCAUCCUGGACUGGUCCUGACACUCAGGAGCGAAAGCGUGGGGAGCGAUCCGG